GACGAACGCUGGCGGCGUGCUUAACACAUGCAAGUCGAACGGAAAGACCCUGCUCUUGUGGGGUUCUCGUUAGGCGAACGGGUGAGUAACACGUGAGUAUACUCCCCUUGACUUUGGGAUAACUUCAGGAAACAGCGGCUCUUACCGCAUAGGAGCUCCUGCAGCAUGGGGGGGGAUGGUGAGAUUCGGCGGUUGGGGCUGGUCUCGCUGGUUAUCCGCUUCAUGGUCAGGUAGGGGCUUACCAAGUCUUUGAAGGGUAGCCGGCCUGAGAGGGUGGCCAGGCACAAUGGGACUGAGGGACGGCGCAGAAGCCUACGGGAGGCAGCAGGGGGGAAUAUGACGGAGUGGGGGGGAGCCAGAUACAGCAGCGUCGCGUGCGGAAUGACGGCCUUCGGGUGGUAAACCGCUGUCGCAUGUGACGAAGCGUGAGUGACGGUAACGAGUAAGAAAGCACCGGCUAACUACGUG
rnacentral:rRNA from 1 species